rnacentral:pre_miRNA from 1 species
GUAAGAAGUCAAAUCGGUUUCAGAGAUGUUCUUAAACUGAAUUGAUUCCUUACAG